rnacentral:rRNA from 1 species
UGACUCAACGCGGGAAACCUUACUAGGGUAAGACAUUGGUAUGAUUGACAGAUUACUUGAUCUUUCUUGAUUUGGUGGGUGGUGGUGCAUGGCCGAUCUUAGUUGGUGGGGUGACCCGUCUGGUUAAUUUCGAUAACGAACGAGAUCCGAGCUGUUUAGUUGGCUGUGUUUACUUUUUAGACAUACGUCUCCUAUAUGGACUGUCAGUAUGAGGCUGAAGGAAGUUUCGGGCUAAAUCAGGUCUGUGAUGCCCUUAGACACUCUAGGCGGCACGCGCGCUACAAUGGGCGGAAGAACGUGUUACUGCCACCGAAAGGUGGGGUGAAUCACGAAUUCUUGCCCGUGAAUGGGAUAGUUUGUUGCAAUUUUCGGACUUUGAACUAGGAAUCCCUUGUAAGCAUGCUCAAGAAUAGCGUGUUGAAUACGUCCCCUGCCGUUUGUACACACCGCCCGUCGUUUCUUCCGACUGAUACCUUCCAUUUGUGAGUUGCCAAGGACCCUUUAUUGGGGAAUUGCUGCGAAUGCUUUGUAUUGGAGGAAGAAAAAGUCGUAACAAGGUUAUC